AGGACGAACGCUGGCGGCGUGCUUAACACAUGCAAGUCGAGCGGAAAGGCCUUUCGGGGUACUCGAGCGGCGAACGGGUGAGUAACACGUGAGUAAUCUGCCCAUCGCUUCAGGAUAGCCAUCGGAAACGGUGAUUAAUACUGGAUAUGACAUUCCUUCGCAUGUUGGGGUGUGGAAAGUUUUUUCGGCGGUGGAUGUGCUCGCGGCCUAUCAGCUUGUUGGUGGGGUAAUGGCCUACCAAGGCUUUGACGGGUAGCCGGCCUGAGAGGGUGACCGGCCACACUGGGACUGAGACACGGCCCAGACUCCUACGGGAGCAGCAGUGGGGAAUAGUUGGACAAGUGGGCGAAAGCCUGAU
rnacentral:rRNA from 1 species